CAAAAUUUUACAAGUGAGCAAAUUCGACAAAUACGGAAGAGUCUAAUCGAAGGAAGCGUUCCUAAACGAGGUUUUCACCCUCGGCUUCUAAAGCUCGGUCGCCCUCUGCUUCCCCAGCUCGGUCCCGAUCAGCAGUCUCCGCGGCCCCUGCCUGAGCUUCCACUGCAACGGCGUUAGUAUUCCCCUCGGCAGCAGGAAGGGUCGCAUACUCCUCUUCGUUGAAGUCGGGCAGGUGGAUGGGCGAAUAUCGCUCCGGGGAGGCAGGGAGCUGGACGGGAGGGGCAGGAGACGACCAAGCGGGAUGAUCAAGUGGGAUCUGAAGCUCUUUCAAACAGGCAAGCCAUCCCUCCUGAAAGACACCGGGGCGGAGCUCGGCUAACUGUCUUUCAUACACGUCCCCAGCCCGCUCGAAAGCGCGGUCGAACAGCUUCUUGUAUACCUCGCCACAAGCGAACGCUUUCAGGUCGGACGCUUCUUGCUGGGCGUGGUUCCGUUGAAGAAUCGCGAUCUCGGCUGCCGAACGUGCAUCUGCGAGAUCGGACUGAGUUUGUUUCAGCUCCUUUUCGAGGUUACUCGCCUUCUGAUUCGCCUUCUUCAGAUCCACCACACCCUGCUUUAGCCGGAGUGAGGAAGAUACAGCUCGCUGAAAUAACUAAGAAAGGGAAAAAGAGAUGGAUUAGAAAAGAACAGCAUGUAUCAGGCUCGUUAAUCAGAGAUGAAAGCCGGAAACUUGAAGAUUCUAACCUGGGCCCCCAACAUAACGAGCUUGCCCCCGAAUUCUGCCGUGGUCUCAGCAGCAUGAUCCGCGACGUCUUGGGGGAGCAUCACCUCGUUGCCCAGCGCAACACAGGUCUCGUGGUCCUUAGAAGUGUCCGCCGAGGUAACUUGUUUGCCGAGCUCCACAACGGAAAAUUGAGGGGCCCACAGCUCGGGGGUGCCAGCGGCCGAUCCUGCACCCUUUCCCCUCUUCGGUCUAGAAGUUCCCUCUGUAGGUUGCUUCCUUUUCUGUUUGCCACCCAUCAAGGACGGCGCGGUGGACUGAUCUUUGGCUGGGGCUGGUGUGGACGAGAUAUGAGCCUCGGGGAGUGUGGACGGAUCAGUUGUUGGGGCUUGCUUCUUCCCCAGAAUCCUCACCUUAGGGGCCAUGAUCUCCGCGUUCAACUGAGACCCAGCAGAUGAACUGUCGCUGUGAGAGUAGGAGUGCUCAACAAUCUCCCUCGGUUCGACGAUGGCUACGUCAGAAUCAGAGCUCGGGAGAUUUAUAGGUUCUGGGACCAGGAAUAUGGGAGCUGGAACCAAAGGAGCCGCAGGAGGGAUUUGAUCCACCUCUUCGCCGUCUUCGACCUCGGCCUCUUCGUUCAGGGCCUCGUCGCCCAGAUCGAUGUCCCAGCUGGAAGAGCUCGAUUCGCUGGAGCUAGAACUUUCGCCUUCGGCCUCUUCUAACAGCCUUCGAAGCUCGGCUGAGGUCCCUUCAAAUAAGUCACUGACCUCGUCAGAUAGAGAGCUCCUCGGCCUAGAACCUGGUCCUCGGAUCUGGAGGGGCGGAAGAACGGGCCGUCCCUGAUGAGCGGCUCGGAGAGGAAUGGUGUAUCGGUACAAGGGGAUGUAACCUAGUAAAUCGGAGACUUUGCGGGAGCGUCCACAAUUGUUCACAGCACUUAUUGUAGCCGAACACCGGUCGCUCCUCCUCCAAAAACGUCUGUUGAAUCCUGCAAAAGCGAACCGGACACAACAGUCAGUUAACCGUUAUGCAGAAUGGAUGAAUUGACAAAGUAUAUCGCAAGGAGAAGCACGCCAGUUCUCACCUACAGGGACGUAACCCCAGUGCCUAGGAACCGAGAAGGGGUCGAGUUCGUUGACAGGGAACUCCCAUUGACCCGAGACCCAAAUGAAGUCAUUCAAAUACUGGUCCUUGUCCGGAGAAUCCGUAACUAACCUCGUCUGAGGCUGAUUUGGCUUCCUAAGGCGAAGAUAGUGAUUGCCUUCGAGCAUUUGGGUCUCAGGGUUUUUCCUAGGCUUGAUCACGCAGUACACAUGAAAAAGAUCAUCCGCGGUGAACUCUAAUCCUUCUCUCUGCAUCAAAGCCUCAACUGCCAGCACGGUUCGGACAAAGUUUACAAAGACUUGCAUGAAAGUGAACCCGCAGAUAGAAAGGACGGAUCUCAAGAGUUUGCUGAGGGAAAAUCGAAGCCCGGCUUGGUAAAUAAACCAGGUCCUAAUGGGCAUCCGAUCGCCCUCUCCCUCCACCCAAUCCGCGUCAUCGUUUGGACCCGGGCGCUCUAUCACUACGUCGUCAGGGAUCCUAUGGUCGACACGGAAUUGGGCUAAGGCCUCGCUAUCGCGAACAAGCAUUUGAGCCCGAUUCAACGCCAUGUCCUGAAAGUGGAGGCAGAUGGUCAGAGGAGCUUAAAGCGCCCCCAGAAGCGAGGUUGAACCUAGGAAACCCUAAUUACUCCAGUCGGGUUUGACCCGGACCCUAUUCAGUGAUUUGUGAGACGAC
rnacentral:lncRNA from 1 species